GGAGAGAUGGCUUAGUGGAUUAAGGUGUCGGAUUGAUAAUCCCUUGUACGAGCUACUUGUACCGAGGGUUCGAAUCCCUCUCUCUCCG
rnacentral:tRNA from 1 species